rnacentral:rRNA from 1 species
CCUACGGGUGGCAGCAGUGGGGAAUAUUGCACAAUGGGGGAAACCCUGAUGCAGCGACGCCGCGUGAGUGAAGAAGUAAUUCGUUACGUAAAGCUCUAUCCGCAGGGAAGAAACACUGACCUUACGGUCAGCAGACGGUACCUGCGUAAGAAGCCCCGGCUAACUACGGGCCAGCAGCCGCGGUAAUACGUAGGGGCCAAGCAUUAUCCGGAUUUACUGGGUGUAAAGGGAGCUUAGACGGUGGGCAAAAUCCGGAGGGAAAUGCCGCAGCUUAACUGCGGAAUGGCUUUUGAAACUGGCGAACUAGAGUACGGUAGGGGUAAGGGGAAUUCCUAGUGUAGCGGUGAAAUGCGUAAAUAUUAGGAGGAACACCGGUGGCGAAGGCGGCUUACUGGACCGUAACUGACGUUGAGGCUCGAAAGCGUGGGGAGCAAACAGGAUUAGAUACCCCGGUAGUC